UAAACAACAAAUGGAAGCCUUUUUCUGAAUUCAGUCAAUUGAUUGUGAAUGGCUGGAGAGAUCAUUCCUCCUAAGAAAAACCUGCAGGAAUGUAGUUCAAACCCAUUGCUCACUUCAAUCUUCUCAAACCUAACCUGUUCUGGUUUAUUUAUUCGUUUUUUGUUUGUUUGUUUGUUUGUUUUUUAAGGCAGUAAAUAUAACAGAGCAAAAGUUCCACGAGAAGACAUUUUAAGGUGCAGAUACACUUGAGAGCACUGGGAGAGGGAACCCUCAAGCCGGAGUGGCUUCUUCCUGUCCAGGAAGAAGGUCAAGGGACCUGGGAUCUGGCAAGUGGCCUUAUCUUCCCCAGACAAACAAGGCUUUGCCUCAGUUUCCUCAGUCCUAGGAGGACUGUCCGCAAAGUUCUAUAAUCUCCCUUUGGCUCCACCAGGACAAGGGGCUGGAGUACAAUGUGGGGACCAAGGGUGAGGUGGAGAAAGUGGCUGCCACACGGCAAGGUAAUAAAGGGGUGGACUGUCUGUAGAGAAUCCAAAAUCAAUAAUAAAACCGACUAACAGCCAGCCUGGUUUUAUGAGCGUCAUGUGCCUACAAUCCUAAACGGUCUUUGUGCUAAAAUACUCCUCCUCAAAAAUGUGUUCUUGGUCUCUAAGUUAUAAACAAUCAGUGUCAUUGCCGGUGAGUGUUAAUAACACGUAUGUAAGGUUUACAUUAGCACUUUAAAAAACGUACCCUUUAGGAAACCUGGUUUUCUCCAUAGAAGUCACUUGGAGAACUCCCAGGUACAUAAUUGGCCCCAACAUAUGUGGAGUUGGCUCCACACAGUUGUUGCAAGAGAAAGUUCUUAACAGUUCAGAAUUGUGAGCUUGCUUCGGGCACCAUUGUGGCUUCAGUCUCAGUGAGACAGCACGUUCCUGCAUUUAGGAAGUAGGUUGUAAGCGUAAACCAAGGUAGUUUGGCCACCUAGGAGCUGACUUACUUUAAUGCUGUCCUUUCGUGGGGCCACAUGGAGAUUUUUAUUUGUGUUUAAAAUUUAAAAGAGUGACACUGAGUGUGAACUGCCAAGUGUAAUAUUUGUGCUUGGUAAGUACAACUUUUACUCACACGUGAUAUAUUUUACUGAGUCUGAAUAAUAUAUUUCAAAUGGAAACGUCUUCUUUUUUAAUUGUUGAGUUAUCGUGUUUAAAACUAAAAAAAUUAAGCAGUAAAGCAGUACCUCCAUGGUAUGAUUUAGUGGUUGCUAAAUUACAGGCAACUUCUGUAGAUGUCUCACUUUCAUGAAAAUUCACUUAUUAGUAACUGAACAGUGAUUUACAUAAAUUAUCAUUAUAUCAGGCUGCAACCAGCAAUCAAACUUCCGUAGAUAUAAUAACAGUUUAAUAAGUACUUGUGCUUUUUGUCCUAUUUUGUACCAUAAUAUUUACUUUUCUUUUUUGUAAUUGUGGCAUAAUUAUAUGCAUGGGGUUCCGUCAGAGAAACAUUUUCUGACUUCUGUUUCUUUUCUGGCCAUUAUUACUAUCAUUUCAUUUCAUGGUUAUUUCUGAAGAUCAUUCUGUGAUAUAAAGGAGGGGAAAGUGAAGUGACAAGGUGCCUAGCAGCUCAUACCACCGUUCUGCAAAGUGGCUUGUGAUGGGGACAGGAGGCAGGUGUCCCGAAAAGAGGAAGAGUCUGAUCUUGGAAAUUAAAAAAAUUGACCAGAGGGAAAUGGAAAGAACACAGGCUUUGAAGAUGAAAGACCUGGGUUCAAAUUCCGAUUCUGCAAUUUACUGGCUGUGUGAUCUCGGGCAAGUGACUUAACCAUUCUGAGCCUCAGUUUCCUCAUUUGUAAUGUGAGACUAUAACCCCACCUUUAAAGGCUGUGCUGAGAUGAA